rnacentral:rRNA from 1 species
UACGGAGGAUGCAAGCGUUAUCCGGAUUUAUUGGGUUUAAAAGGUGCGUAGGCGGGACUGUAAGUCAGGGGUGAAAUACUGCAGCUUAACUGUAGCAUUGCCUUUGAAACUGCCGUUCUUGAGUACAGUUGAGGUAGGCGGAAUGUGGUGUGUAGCGGUGAAAUGCAUAGAUAUACCACAGAACGCCGAUUGCGAAGGCAGCUUACUAAGCUGUUACUGACGCUGAGGCACGAAAGCGUGGGGAUCAAACAGGAUUAGA